rnacentral:rRNA from 1 species
GCAGUCGAGCGAACUGAUUAGAAGCUUGCUUCUAUGACGUUAGCGGCGGACGGGUGAGUAACACGUGGGCAACCUGCCUGUAAGACUGGGAUAACUCCGGGAAACCGGAGCUAAUACCGGAUAACAUUUUUUCUUGCAUAAGAGAAAAUUGAAAGAUGGUUUCGGCUAUCACUUACAGAUGGGCCCGCGGUGCAUUAGCUAGUUGGUGAGGUAACGGCUCACCAAGGCAACGAUGCAUAGCCGACCUGAGAGGGUGAUCGGCCACACUGGGACUGAGACACGGCCCAGACUCCUACGGGAGGCAGCAGUAGGGAAUCUUCCGCAAUGGACGAAAGUCUGACGGAGCAACGCCGCGUGAGUGAUGAAGGCUUUCGGGUCGUAAAACUCUGUUGUUAGGGAAGAACAAGUACAAGAGUAACUGCUUGUACCUUGACGGUACCUAACCAGAAAGCCACGGCUAACUACGUGCCAGCA